AUACGGGGGAUUCAAGCGUUAUCCGGACUUAUUGGGUUUAAAGGGAGCGCAGGCGGAGAUGCAAGCGUGACGUCAAAUUUCGGGGCUCAACCCCGUCUCGCGUCGCGAACUGCGUCCCUUGGUUGCGGGAAGGGGAGGCGGAACUCGUGGUGUAGCGGUGAAAUGCAUAGAUAUCACGAAGAACUCCGAUCGCGAAGGCAGCCUUCCGGCCCGUCAACGACGCUCAUGCUCGAAGGUGCGGGUAUCAAACAGGAUUAGAUACCCUGGUAGUCCGCACAGUAAACGAUGGACACCCGCGGUUUGGCCUAUAUGGCUGAGCCGCCAAGCGAAAGCGUUAAGUGUCCCACCUGGGGAGUACGCCGGCAACGGUGAAACUCAAAGGAAUUGACGGGG
rnacentral:rRNA from 1 species